AGUGAACGCUGGCGGUAGGCCUAACACAUGCAAGUCGAACGGCAGCACAGUAAGAGCUUGCUCUUACGGGUGGCGAGUGGCGGACGGGUGAGGAAUACAUCGGAAUCUACUUUUUCGUGGGGGAUAACGUAGGGAAACUUACGCUAAUACCGCAUACGACCUACGGGUGAAAGCAGGGGAUCUUCGGACCUUGCGCGAUUGAAUGAGCCGAUGUCGGAUUAGCUAGUUGGCGGGGUAAAGGCCCACCAAGGCGACGAUCCGUAGCUGGUCUGAGAGGAUGAUAGGCCACACUGGAACGUAGACACGGUCCAUACUCCUACGGGAGGCAGCAGUGGGGAAUAUUGGACAAUGGGCGCAAGCCUGAUCCAGCCAUACCGCGUGGGUGAAGAAGGCCUUCGGGUUGUAAAGCCCUUUUGUUGGGAAAGAAAAGCAGCAGGUUAAUACCCCGCUGUUCUGACGGUACCCAAAGAAUAAGCACCGGCUAACUUCGUG
rnacentral:rRNA from 1 species